rnacentral:rRNA from 1 species
CCUACGGGAGGCAGCAGUGGGGAAUAUUGGACAAUGGGCGCAAGCCUGAUCCAGCCAUACCGCGUGGGUGAAGAAGGCCUUCGGGUUGUAAAGCCCUUUUGUUGGGAAAGAAAUCCAGCCGGCUAAUACCUGGUUGGGAUGACGGUACCCAAAGAAUAAGCACCGGCUAACUUCGUGCCAGCAGCCGCGGUAAUACGAAGGGUGCAAGCGUUACUCGGAAUUACUGGGCGUAAAGCGUGCGUAGGUGGUUGUUUAAGUCUGUUGUGAAAGCCCUGGGCUCAACCUGGGAACUGCAGUGGAAACUGGACAACUAGAGUGUGGUAGAGGGUAGCGGAAUUCCCGGUGUAGCAGUGAAAUGCGUAGAGAUCGGGAGGAACAUCCAUGGCGAAGGCAGCUACCUGGACCAACACUGACACUGAGGCACGAAAGCGUGGGGAGCAAACAGGAUUAGAUACCCUGGUAGUCCACGCCCUAAACGAUGCGAACUGGAUGUUGGGUGCAAUUUGGCACGCAGUAUCGAAGCUAACGCGUUAAGUUCGCCGCCUGGGGAGUACGGUCGCAAGACUGAAACUCAAAUGAAUUGACGG